rfam:Schistosoma margrebowiei strain Zambia genome assembly, scaffold: SMRZ_scaffold0000298
AGCUUUUCGAAUCCGUGCUGAGAUUUCUUCCGAUACCAGUCCAUUAGGGCUGAUCAGACUUCCAAGAUAAGUGAAGUU